rnacentral:tRNA from 1 species
CAUCAGAUGACUGAAAGCAAGUGGUGGUCUCUUAAACCAAUUCAUAGUAAAUUAGCAACUACUUCUGAUGA